rnacentral:rRNA from 1 species
AGCAGCCGCGGUAAUUCCAGCUCCAAUAGCGUACAUUAAAGUUGUUGCAGUUAAAAAGCUCGUAGUUGAAUUUCGGGAUCAAGGUGCCGGUCAUGCCUUUGGUAUGUACUGACAUCAUUGAUUUCUCCUUUCUGAUGAACUGUGAUGUCAUUAAUUUGGUGUCAUGGAGAAUCAGGACUGUUACUUUGAAAAAUUAGAGUGUUUAAAGCAAGCACACGCUUGAAUACAUUAGCAUGGAAUAAUGAAAUAGGACGUUUGAUCCUAUUUGUUGGUUUCUAGGAUCGACGUAAUGAUUAAUAGGGAUAGUUGGGGGCAUUAGUAUUCAAUUGUCAGAGGUGAAAUUCUUGGAUUUAUUGAAGACUAACUACUGCGAAAGCAUUUGCCAAGGAUGUUUUCAUUAAUCAAGAACGAAAGUUAAGGGAUCGAAG